rnacentral:rRNA from 1 species
UAUGUGAUCGUCUCUCGCAUAUCAAUAAGCGGAGGAAAAGAAACUAACAAGGAUUCCCCUAGUAACGGCGAGUGAAGCGGGAAGAGCUCAAAUUUGAAAUCUUAAAGGGUUUCCCUUUACGAAUUGUAGUUUAAAGAAGUGUUUUCUGUUGAGGUUUUGGUAAAAGUUCUUUGGAAUAGGACAUCAUAGAGGGUGAGAAUCCCGUAUUUGACCUUUACUUUCAACUUUGUGAUACACUUUCAAAGAGUCGGAUUGUUUGGGAAUGCAGUCCAAAAUGGGUGGUAAAUUUCAUCUAAAGCUAAAUAUUGGCGAGAGACCGAUAGCGAACAAGUACCGUGAGGGAAAGAUGAAAAGAACUUUGAAAAGAGAGUUAAACAGUACGUGAAAUUGUCAAAAGGGAAGCGUUUGACACCAGUGUUGUUUUUCUGAAAAUCAAUUAAAGAACUGUUUAUGCUAAGCUUGUUUAGACUUUAUCAGCUAACUGUUUAGUUUUGAGCUUUUCUUUAAUGCACUUUUCAGUUAACAAGUCAACAUCAAUUUCUUUUGCUGUAAAAAAGCUUGAGGAAGGUGGCUUGAGAUUCGUCUUAAGUGUUUAUAGCCUCUUGCCUAUGCAGUCGGAGAGAUUGAGGUCUGCAGCGUAGAUCCUUCGGGGCUAAAUGCAUUUGUGCUAAGUUAUAACAUUUUAUAGACAACUUGUUGACUAUGAUUUGUCUUGUAGCUUACUCGCUUAUGUUAUUUUACCUACGCUUAGGAUGUUGACACACGCGCGUGCUCG